AGGUUAAGUUAUUAAGGGCGCACGGCGAAUGCCUUGGCACUAGGAGCCGAAGAAGGACGGCACUAACACCGAUAUGCUUCGGGGAGCUGUAAGUGAGCUUUGAUCCGGAGAUUUCCGAAUGGGGGAACCCACUACGUUUAAUCGCGUAGUAUCUUGACGUGAAUACAUAGCGUCUUGAAGGCAGACCCAGGGAACUGAAACAUCUAAGUACCUGGAGGAAGAGAAAGAAAAAUCGAUUCCCUGAGUAGCGGCGAGCGAAACGGGAAGAGCCCAAACCAAGAGGCUUGCCUCUUGGGGUUGUAGGACACUCAAUACGGAGUUACAAAAGAGCGAGUUAGAUGAAGCGACUUGGAAAGGUCCGCCAGAGCAGGUAAAAGCCCUGUAGUCGAAAGUUCGUUCUCUCCUGAGUGGAUCCUGAGUACGGCGGAACACGUGAAAUUCCGUCGGAAUCCGGGAGGACCAUCUCCCAAGGCUAAAUACUACCUAGUGACCGAUAGUGAACCAGUACCGUGAGGGAAAGGUGAAAAGCACCCCGGAAGGGGAGUGAAAGAGAUCCUGAAACCGUGUGCCUACAAGUAGUUAGAGCCCGUUAAUGGGUGAUAGCGUGCCUUUUGUAGAAUGAACCGGCGAGUUACGAUUACGUGCGAGGUUAAGCUUUAGAAGGCGGAGCCGCAGCGAAAGCGAGUCUGAAUAGGGCGAAAUAGUACGUGGUCGUAGACCCGAAACCAGGUGAUCUACCCAUGUCCAGGGUGAAGGUAAGGUAACACUUACUGGAGGCCCGAACCCACGCACGUUGAAAAGUGCGGGGAUGAGGUGUGGGUAGCGGAGAAAUUCCAAUCGAACUUGGAGAUAGCUGGUUCUCUCCGAAAUAGCUUUAGGGCUAGCCUCGUGAUGAGAAUACUGGAGGUAGAGCACUGUUUGGACUAGGGGGCCAUCCCGGUUUACCGAAUUCAGACAAACUCCGAAUGCCAGAUAUUUAUACACGGGAGUCAGACUGCGAGUGAUAAGAUCCGUAGUCAAAAGGGAAACAGCCCAGACCACCAGCUAAGGUCCCAAAGUAAUCGUUAAGUGGAAAAGGAUGUGGCGUUGCACAGACAACCAGGAUGUUGGCUUAGAAGCAGCCAUCAUUUAAAGAGUGCGUAAUAGCUCACUGGUCGAGUGACGCUGCGCCGAAAAUGUAUCGGGGCUAAACGAUUCACCGAAGCUGUGGAUUGACAUCUACGAUGUCAGUGGUAGGAGAGCGUUCUAAGUGCGUUGAAGUCAGACCGGAAGGACUGGUGGAGCGCUUAGAAGUGAGAAUGCCGGUAUGAGUAGCGAAAGACGGGUGAGAAUCCCGUCCACCGUAUGACUAAGGUUUCCUGAGGAAGGCUCGUCCGCUCAGGGUUAGUCGGGACCUAAGCCGAGGCCGAUAGGCGUAGGCGAUGGACAACAGGUUGAUAUUCCUGUACCACCUCCUCACCGUUUGAGAAAUGGGGGGACGCAGUAGGAUAGGGUAAGCGCGCUGUUGGUUAUGCGCGUCCAAGCAGUAAGGCGUGUGUGUAGGCAAAUCCGCACACUGUAACGUUGAGCUGUGAUGGCGAGUCCGUAUGGACGAAGUUCCUGAUUUCACACUGCCAAGAAAAGCCUCUAUCGAGGUGAGAGGUGCCCGUACCGCAAACCGACACAGGUAGUCGAGGAGAGAAUCCUAAGGUGUGCGAGAGAACUCUCGUUAAGGAACUCGGCAAAAUGACCCCGUAACUUCGGGAGAAGGGGUGCUCUUGAGCGUGCAAGCGCAUGAGAGCCGCAGUGAAUAGGCCCAGGCGACUGUUUAGCAAAAACACAGGUCUCUGCAAAACCGUAAGGUGACGUAUAGGGGCUGACGCCUGCCCGGUGCUGGAAGGUUAAGAGGAGUGGUUAGCGCAAGCGAAGCU
rnacentral:rRNA from 1 species